AUUGAACGCUGGCGGCAGGCUUAACACAUGCAAGUCGAACGAUGAUUUCCCAGCUUGCUGGGAAUGAUUAGUGGCGGACGGGUGAGUAACAUUUAGGAAUCUGCCUAGUAGUGGGGGAUAGCUCGGGGAAACUCGAAUUAAUACCGCAUACGACCUACGGGUGAAAGGGGGCGCAAGCUCUUGCUAUUAGAUGAGCCUAAAUCAGAUUAGCUAGUUGGUGGGGUAAAGGCCCACCAAGGCGACGAUCUGUAACUGGUCUGAGAGGAUGAUCAGUCACACCGGAACUGAGACACGGUCCGGACUCCUACGGGAGGCAGCAGUGGGGAAUAUUGGACAAUGGGGGCAACCCUGAUCCAGCCACGCCGCGUGUGUGAAGAAGGCCUUUUGGUUGUAAAGCACUUUAAGCAGGGAGGAGAGGCUAAUGGUUAAUACCCAUUAGAUUAGACGUUACCUGCAGAAUAAGCACCGGCUAACUCUGUGCCAGCAGCCGCGGUAAUACAGAGGGUGCGAGCGUUAAUCGGAAUUACUGGGCGUAAAGCGAGUGUAGGUGGCUCAUUAAGUCACAUGUGAAAUCCCCGGGCUUAACCUGGGAACUGCAUGUGAUACUGGUGGUGCUAGAAUAUGUGAGAGGGAAGUAGAAUUCCAGGUGUAGCGGUGAAAUGCGUAGAGAUCUGGAGGAAUACCGAUGGCGAAGGCAGCUUCCUGGCAUAAUAUUGACACUGAGAUUCGAAAGCGUGGGUAGCAAACAGGAUUAGAUACCCUGGUAGUCCACGCCGUAAACGAUGUCUACUAGCCGUUGGGGUCCUUGAGACUUUAGUGGCGCAGUUAACGCGAUAAGUAGACCGCCUGGGGAGUACGGCCGCAAGGUUAAAACUCAAAUGAAUUGACGGGGGCCCGCACAAGCGGUGGAGCAUGUGGUUUAAUUCGAUGCAACGCGAAGAACCUUACCUGGUCUUGACAUAGUGAGAAUCCUGCAGAGAUGCGGGAGUGCCUUCGGGAAUUCACAUACAGGUGCUGCAUGGCUGUCGUCAGCUCGUGUCGUGAGAUGUUGGGUUAAGUCCCGCAACGAGCGCAACCCUUUUCCUUAUUUGCCAGCGGGUUAAGCCGGGAACUUUAAGGAUACUGCCAGUGACAAACUGGAGGAAGGCGGGGACGACGUCAAGUCAUCAUGGCCCUUACGACCAGGGCUACACACGUGCUACAAUGGUAGGUACAGAGGGUUGCUACACAGCGAUGUGAUGCUAAUCUCAAAAAGCCUAUCGUAGUCCGGAUUGGAGUCUGCAACUCGACUCCAUGAAGUCGGAAUCGCUAGUAAUCGCAGAUCAGAAUGCUGCGGUGAAUACGUUCCCGGGCCU
rnacentral:rRNA from 1 species